UACGGGGGGAGCAAGCGUUGUUCGGAUUUACUGGGCGUAAAGGGCGCGUAGGCGGCCACCGCAAGUCAGUUGUGAAAUCUCCGGGCUUAACCCGGAAAGGUCAACUGAUACUGUGCGACUAGAGUGCGGAAGGGGCAACUGGAAUUCUCGGUGUAGCGGUGAAAUGCGUAGAUAUCGAGAGGAACACCUGAGGCGAAGGCGGGUUGCUGGGCCGACACUGACGCUGAUGCGCGAAAGCCAGGGGAGCGAACGGG
rnacentral:rRNA from 1 species